CGGACGGGUGAGUAAUGUCUGGGAAACGUGCCUGAUGGAGGGGGAUAACUACUGGAAACGGUAGCUAAUACCGCAUAACCGUCGCAAGACCAAAGAGGGGGACCGUUCGGGCCUCUUGCCAUCGGAUGUGCCCAGAUGGGAUUAGCUAGUAGGUGGGGUAACGGCUCACCUAGGCGACGAUCCCUAGCUGGUCUGAGAGGAUGACCAGCCACACUGGAACUGAGACACGGUCCAG
rnacentral:rRNA from 1 species